rnacentral:rRNA from 1 species
ACUCCUACGGGAGGCAGCAGUGGGGAAUAUUGCACAAUGGGGGAAACCCUGAUGCAGCCAUGCCGCGUGUGUGAAGAAGGCCUUCGGGUUGUAAAGCACUUUCAGUAGGGAGGAAGGUAGUGUAGUUAACACCUGCACUAUUUGACGUUACCUACAGAAGAAAGCACCGUCUAACUCCGUGCCAGCAGCCGCGGUAAUACGAGGGUGCGAGCGUUAAUCGGAAUUACUGGGCGUAAAGCGCAUGCAGGCGGCCUGUUAAGUCAGAUGUGAAAGCC